GACGAACGCUGGCGGCGUGCCUAAUACAUGCAAGUCGAACGCAGUGGGGACGGGUGAGUAACACGUGGUUAACCUCCCAUCAGAGGGGAUAACACUUGGAAACAGGUGCUAAACCGAUAUUGAUGCAUGGACGCUCGUGGCCUUAUCUAGUUGGUGAGGUAACGGCUCACCAAGGCCAUGAUGCAUAGUCGAGCGGUGAGGAUGAUAAGCCACACUGGGAUGGAGACACGGCCCAGACUACAAUGGGAGGCAGCAGUAGGGAAUCUUCGGCUAUGGACGAAAGUCUGACCGAGCAACGCCGAGUGAGUGAAGAAGGUUUUCGGAUCGUAAAACUCUGUUGUUAGAGAAGCGGUAUCUAACCAGAAAGCAACGGCUAACUACGUGCCAGCAGCCGCGGUAAUAC
rnacentral:rRNA from 1 species